GGAGGGAUGGCCGAGUGGUUGAUGGCGGCGGUCUUGAAAACCGCUGUACCUGAAAGGGUAUCGGGGGUUCGAAUCCCUCUCCCUCCGCCA
rnacentral:tRNA from 3 species